UAGCAUCAAGGAUUGCAAAACCCUCCUGGUUCUGAUUGGGGAUCCGCCGUGAUUGACAGCCCAAGGAGGGGGAGCCCGCACUGGCCCUGCUCUGGACUGUCCUGGAGCUGCAGCCAAGAUCAGCAGUGGGAGCGUUGCUUGGGGGGUUCCCUUCAGGCCAGACAAUCUGUCCCAGAGCUGCCCUGCAGAGACAAGAUGCUUUGGAAGAAGCCGUGAUGGAAAGCUGUGGUGGAAGGUUGAAGCGACGGCAUCGGAGCUGAUACCGGGUGGGAACCUGGAGGCGCACAAGGGGCUGGACAAAAUACAAUGACUUCAACCCUG